GCGCAGUGGGCGGCACAGGCUGCUUCCUCCAGGCUGCAGCUUGCUUGCGCGGGAACCGUCCACCCCUGGGCGUGAGUCGGGGCGUUGCCCUGAAGGGGAGAGUCCCUGGAAGAUGAGGGGUGGGGUCCGUGGUGGCUCCGACUGGUCUAGGCUGGAUUUUGCAGGCGCAGACCGCUGGUGAGGUGCGUCCUGGAGCUGGGGUGGGCCCUGUGGCCCCAGGCCCUGGGGUGCCCCUGCACCUGGGAGCUGGUUCUGGAGAGAUGCGGCCUUGCGGCGGCGCCACGAGGGCCCGAGGCGGCUGCAGAGCCUCGGGAAAGGGCACUGCAAACGAGUAGAUACUUGGAGAGCUUUCCUUUUGAAACAGGCUGAAGGUAUAAAGAGGUUAGGGCCUGGGGCAACUUUAUCCCGAGGUAUGCGUUUCCAGGAGGCACCUCAGCAUCGCCUUCUCUUUCAGGACCAAGUGGUGUGCUGGUGCCUGAGCUUCUGCAGCAGCUUCCAGAACCGACCUGCGAUGCAUCCGGCGGUGCCCUGUUGACGUGGGCUGUGGUGGAGAGCUGAGCUACUGGGAUGGGCCAACCCUCCAAGGGCUCCUUUCCUCCCAGCAAGGAUUGGCCUUUUUCUGCCGGUUCCCACUGUGCUCAUCAGCUGUGGUAUGGCCUGUGUCACAGCAUCCCCUCUGAUCUCCUGGUUUCUGGUCUUCCACAGUGCUGCCAGGCAGGGAGAAGAAUUUGUCGUAGGAGAGUCCAGAAUGAGAAAAACAAUGACAAUUUGAAAAGGAUACCUCCCUUACUUUAGAACAGUGCAUGAAAUUUCCUUUUAUGGUGAGUGUCAGCCUUCGGUUUAGGUCGUGAUCCCCAGGGUCUUGGGAUCGAGUCCCUCAUCCCUCUGCCUGUGUCUCUGCCUCUCUUUCUGUGUGUCUCAUGAAUAAAGAAAUAAUGAAAUCUUAAAAAAAAAGUGCAAAGCUGGGGCACCUGGGUGGCUCAAUCCAUUCCAUGUUCAGCAUCUGACUCUUGAUCUUAGCCCAGGUCUUGAUCUCUGGGUUGUGAGUUCAAGCCCCAUGUUGAGCUCCUCACUGGGCAUGGAGCCUACUUAAAAAAAAAAAAAAAAAAAGUGCAAAGCCAACUGUUCAGCCAGCGCCUCUGGCAAAUGGAUUUCUGGCAGAUUUGCCCAAACGUAGCUAGAGCACAAGGACAAGGCAGGGAGUGUUUGGGAGCCGCAGCGGUCCAGUCAUGUAGGCCUUGGUGACAAGGAGGAGUUUUAAGCCAGGGACAGGCGAUCCUGCCAGUUUUCCAUGGCAGAACCAUGAAUGCACAUCUGAUGUGCCAAGUGUGAGCCCAGCUUCUCUCCUACAGGCUGCUUCCGGAGCCCUUCCUAUUUGCCAUAGCCCAGCUCUGCCCCUUACCAGCUGCAUGACCUGGUGCAGGUGCAUUCGGUCCUCUGGCACCAAUAUCCUCAAGUGAAAAAUAGGGGUACUAACAGAACUCACAGAGAUUUGUGAGAUUAAAGGAGGUAAUGUAAGGGCUGUGCUUAGCACCAUGACUGGACCAGAAUAUGAGUAAAUUAUGAAGACAGUAGUCUUUAUAGUAGAAGUAGCAGUGGCAGUAACAAUAGCAGUGGUACAGAUACUCUUACUAGGGUAGAGGAGCUGCCCAGGGAACCAGUACCCCGGGAGUUGGGACAAGUCCUCUUAUUGUGCACUCCAGCUGAAGAGGUGGGGGAAGGGGAAGCUUGUGAGAAAGGGGGCACAAAAGGUGUCCUCUGAUCACCCUCCUCCCCUUGUGGACUAUGGA
rnacentral:lncRNA from 1 species